rnacentral:tRNA from 1 species
GCAGAGAUGGCUCAGCGGUUAAGAGCACUGACUGCUCUUCCAAAGGUCCUGAGUUCAAUUCCCAGCAACCACA